rnacentral:misc_RNA from 1 species
AAAAAAUAAAGAUUGCGGAGCACUCUCAUUGAAAAGUGAAAGUGCGUUUGUACGCCACAUCUUGUGAACUCGUAACCGUCUCUGGCGAGGGGGGAAAGCAACUCUUUUGCGGUUUUUGCUUUUCGUCAGCUCCGAACUCUUUGUGCCCUCUCGGGUCGAAAGGUUUUAGAGCCGUGGACAUCUCGCCAACCGCCCCCCUUUUGGGUGGCGUCCUUUUUUGGUCACUUUCUGUAAAUUGCUUGGGAAUUGAUUCUAAAUGGUUGUGAAAAUAAACAAAUGAUAUUUAAAA